GCUAGGGGUCCAUCCCGGAUUACCAACCCGAUGCAAACUGCGAAUACCGAAGAGUAAUGUAUAGGAGACACACGGCGGGUGCUAACGUUCGUCGUGGAGAGGGAAACAACCCAGACCGCCAGCUAAGGUCCCAAAGUCUAUAUUAAGUGGGAAACGAAGUGGAAAGGCUUAGACAGCUAGGAUGUUGGCUUAGAAGCAGCCAUCAUUUAAAGAAAGCGUAAUAGCUCACUAGUCGAGUCGGUCUGCGCGGAAGAUGUAACGGGGCUAAAAUAUAGCACCGAAGCUGCGGCAUCAGGCGUAUCACACAUACGCCUUACGAUUAACACCUUGCRRAGCAAGGUGGUCAAGCGACUUACACGUUGAGGUGUGAGCGGGAGGGAUAAUCGRAGAGAGGAAUAUGUGUGAUACGUCUGUUGGGUAGGGGAGCGUUGUGUAAGCUGAAGAAGGUGGUUCGAGAGGGCUGCUGGAGGUAUCACAAGUGCGAAUGCUGACAUAAGUAACGAUAAAGCGGGUGAAAGGCCCGCUCGCCGGAAGACCAAGGUUUCCUGUCCAACGUUAAUCGGGGCAGGGUGAGUCGGCCCCUAAGGCGAGGCUGAGAAGCGUAGUCGAUGGGAAAUGGGUUAAUAUUCCCAUACUUGGAUAAACUGCGAUGUGGGGACGGAGCAGGUUAGGUUAGCGUACGGAUGGAAGAGUACGUUUAAGUUGGUAGGUGGGGUGUUUAGGCAAAUCCGGGCACCUGAUAACACUGAGAGAUGAUGACGAGGCWCYAMGGWGCUGAAGUAACUGAUACCCAACUUCCAGGAAAAGCCACUAAGCGARAGGUUUAUCUAAACCGUACUGGAAACCGACACAGGUGGUCAGGUAGAGAAUACUAAGGCGCUUGAGAGAACUCGGGUGAAGGAACUAGGCAAAAUAGCACCGUAACUUCGGGAGAAGGUGCGCUGGCGUAGUGUGAAGUUCUUCGCGAAUGGAGCAUGAACCAGUCGAAGCGACGAGCUGGCUGCAACUGUUUAAUAAAAACACAGCACUCUGCAAACACGAAAGUGGACGUAU
rnacentral:rRNA from 1 species